rnacentral:rRNA from 1 species
AGUCGAACGGGCAUCUUCGGAUGCUAGUGGCAGACGGGUGAGUAACACGUGGGAACGUACCUUUCGGUUCGGAAUAAUACAGGGAAACUUGUACUAAUACCGGAUACGCCCUUCGGGGGAAAGAUUUAUCGCCGAUAGAUCGGCCCGCGUCUGAUUAGCUAGUUGGUGAGGUAAUGGCUCACCAAGGCGACGAUCAGUAGCUGGUCUGAGAGGAUGAUCAGCCACACUGGGACUGAGACACGGCCCAGACUCCUACGGGAGGCAGCAGUGGGGAAUAUUGGACAAUGGGCGAAAGCCUGAUCCAGCCAUGCCGCGUGUGUGAUGAAGGCCUUAGGGUUGUAAAGCACUUUUGUCCGGGAAGAUAAUGACUGUACCGGAAGAAUAAGCCCCGGCU